AGAUGUGACUGCAGUAUGUGAGAACAUGUCUGAGGUUCCAUGCCUUUGGGUUCUCUUAAAUGCGAUGACUACAGCAAGAAGCAAUUGUUUGUCUGCUCUGUGUAUAACU